CAGCCCCAGUGGGUUUCAGUCCCUCCCAGCAGAGCACCCCAUUCUCUGUCCUCAAUCCCCGAAGGCAGACAGGUGUCAUCCUCUCCCCGCUCCUCCCCAGCCCUCUGGACCUCCUUUAACCAUACAUGUGAGCCCAACUACUCGGGGAGAGGAGCUGAAGUUGUUUAUCCGUUAUUUUAAAAAAUCCUUUCUGUCUACAUCUGUCUUUUUCCAGUACUCAAAUUUCAACCCCUACAUCAUGUACCACCCCCACCCCCCCUACUCUUUCCUGGGCAGGUCCGUAGACUGGCCUGCGGAGGUGCCUGGACGGUGCCCUUGUUCUCUGUCCUCUGACUCCCAAGGGCCUGGUUGGAAUUCUGGGAAGGGCCAGAUCUGCACUGGGUCCCUCAGGAUAUCCCAGGGCAGCCCCCUCUCUGCCCACCCUAACUUCAGCAGCUCCAGAGCAGGAAGGUUGGGGUCCUAGGGUCACCUGCCACAGAGAGGAAACCAGAGCCCAGAGCCCCGUAGACUUGGCCAUGGGAAGGACACAAGCCACUCCCAUCUUCACUGGGUCACUAGAUAAAUGGGCUGGAGUAACACACCCAAAUGAUGAAUGCGUUGCUGCCAUAAUCCAAAUAGGCCCACUAGGCAUUGUGCCUCUUUCUUGGUUGUAGGAGGGGCCAAAUGCAGCAACCUAUCCUUCAUCUUAGAAGGAAUGUUUCAACAGGCCCCACACCACUGGACCUCUAGAAAUUGUAUUGAGGUAGAAGGUCCCUGAAUUUUAGUUGAAUUUAUUUCCCAUCCUCUGGCACGCAAAUGUCUCACCAGUAAGUACCGUGUGUUUGCUACUUCUUGCUCACUGGUAUAAUCAGCAUAAUGUCAUCAAUGUAAUGGACCAGUGUGAUAUCUUCUGGAAGAAAAAAGCAAUCAAGGUCUCUCCAAAUAAGAUUAUGACACAAAGCUGGAGAGUUGAUAUACCCCUGAGGUAGGACAGUAAAGGUAUAUUGCUGGCCUUACCAGCUGAAGGCAAAUUGCUUCUGGUGGGCCUUAUGGACAGGAAUGGAGAAAAAGGCAUUUACCAAGUCAAUGGUUGCAUAACAGGGACCAGGAGUUGUGUUAAUUUGCUCAAGCAAUGAAUCCACAUCUAGUACAGCAGCUGCAAUUGGAGUCACCACUUGGUUAAGCUUAUAAUAAUCCACUGUUUUUCUCCAAGAUCCAUCUGUCUUCUGCACAGGCCAAAUGGGAGAGUUGAAUGGGGAUGUGGUGGGAAUUACCACCCCCGCGUCUUUCAAGUCUUUGAUGGUGGCACUCAUAUCCACAUUCCCUCCAGGGAUGCGAUAUUGUUUUUGAUUUACUAUUUUUCUAGGUAGAGGCAGUUCGAAUGGCUUCCAUUUGGCCUUUCCCACCAUAAUAGCCCUCACCCUACCAGUCAGGGAGCCAAUGUGGGGGUUCUGCCAGCUGCUAAGUAUGUCUAUGCCAAUUAUGCAUUCUGACACUGGGGAAAUGACUGCAAGAUGAGUCAGGGGACCCACUGGACCCACUCUAAGUCGGACCUGAGCUAAAACUCCAUUAACUAGCUGACCUCCAUAAGCCCCUACUCUAACUGGAGGACUGCAAUGAUGUUUUGGGUCCCCUGGAAUCAAUGUCAGCUCAGAGCCAGUGUCCAGUAGUCCCUGAAAUGUCUGAUCAUUUCCCUUUGCCCAAUGCACAGUUACCCUGGUAAAAGGCGGUGGCAGCUGAGGGAGGUGCAGGUGCAGAUUCUUGGACAGGCGAUUUAAUGAAGAGUUGUCUCUGGAAAAACUGGAAAGACAUGGGAAUGUUGAGUCAUUUGGGGCUAAUACAAAUAACACUGCCAUUCUUGUGAUAGAAUUUCUGUGGGUGUCUGUUUCGUUUCUCUAGGGAAAAUAGCUGGACCCACCAAGUCACAGAUUCUCUUACUGAGCCCUCCACACUGGGGGCUAUUCUGUGGGUAGACCCUGGGGGUGCCAGGUGCUGUCCAGGGAAGUGUGCUCAGCAGAGAGGUUGUUGUGUUGGAAGGGAAUGAGGGGGACCUGGAGAUCUGCUGGCUUGUCUGCACUGACCCAGGAGGCUGACCCUGAGCAAUGAGAGUGUUGCAAACUCCCAGGCAAAGUCCAGACUGGAGUGUGCCCGGGAUGCAUUUCCUACCGCAUUUUGCAGAGGGCAGCAUGAACCCCAGCAUACCUUAGAAUCCAGAACUGAGAAUCAGGGGAAUCUGGAGUUUCAUAAACCCAAGAUUUCAGAUUCUGAGAAUCUCAGAAUUUAGAAAUGUAGAGGCUCAGAGCCCGGAAAGUAGAGCCACCAGGUAGUUUAUGACUUCCAGUCUAACAGAAUUGUCUUCAAAAUACAGGAAAAAAAAUUAAAAAGACGAACCUCCCCUGGGAGCCCAGUACAUGGAUCAGAAGAAGGCUGGGCAGCAACUCUGGCUGGAGGCAGGUGGCGGCUUCUAAGACCUCUCUGCUGACCACCUUCCCCCAGGCAUUUUGACCCCUCAUUCCCUAUCAGGCAGCCCAGGACACUGU
rnacentral:lncRNA from 1 species